ensembl:lncRNA
GGAUCCCUCCUGAGGACUUGGUAAUAAGAUAUCCCCAGAGAGUCAGACUAUUGACUCAUGUGAGAAGAGCCUCAGCGUUUAUCAGAUCCUGACGACACAGGGGCAGGGAGGUUCCACAGUAUGACAUAACGAGCAGCUGCCAACCGCACACAGGUACAGGAACGUGAAUUACCUAGGCCUCAGUGCUUGCUAGUGACGAUGUUGCCUUUUUCCAAAAGAAACUUGAAGUGGGUUAAGAUAAAGAUGUGUUCACGUUAAGAUUAACAAAGCAGAUGUGAACAGGACAAGCGGGAAAAUGAGGAGAAGCAGAAAACCUGACCUCAAGAACCAGCUAAUCUCUGACGAUCAGCCUGGGCUUCGAGGGCAGGUUUAUAAGGCACCUAUCAGGAAACCUGAAACAUGUGCAAAACAAGAAAGAGUGGAAUUGGCCCAGUGGUCCAGAAGCUCUUAUCCAGAGACAAAUACUGUCUGCAUAAGAAUCUAAUCUGGUGGGUACUUAUUGAAGUGAUUUCUAAAAGCAAAGAAGAAGCUCUCAAUGUGGAAACUCUCACAGUGGAAGCCUGUUUGGGAGCCAUUAGACACCACCCCCGGGGAACGGUCAGUCUUUACCCGGACAACCCGGAGCCUGGCAGAAGAGGGCAAGGGAAGGAGGGAGAAGAAAAACUAGAAUCACUAACACUACAGCAACCCCUCAUAAGUGUCUAGAUGAGCAAUUCAAUUAAGCCAAUAGAGAAGUAAUGGUCUUAAUCAACUGCAAAGAGCAAAUGACAUUACGUGGUGAUCAGAUAUGAACUCGGGGUAGGAAGGCCUGGAGGGCUCUGCUCCAUCUCUGAUCCAUCUCUUCCCCUCUCCUACUUCUGGCUUCCUUGCUGUUUAAGGGGAGGCUUGCAAAGGCUGACUCAUCAGAAGGCUGGGGAAAAGCUGGCAGGGGG